ensembl:snoRNA Gm26418 predicted gene, 26418
ACCUCCCCAUGUUCUGGCAAUCACACAGAUCCAGCGUGUGCUUGGCACACUUUUGUAGCAGAGAGAAAAUGGCCCCCCAAUGCCCAGCAGACCUGCCCCAAAGUGGCUUCUUUGUUGUUCCUAGGAGUUUCACAGCU